rnacentral:rRNA from 1 species
AUUGAACGCUGGCGGCAGGCCUAACACAUGCAAGUCGAACGAGUGGCGGACGGGUGAGUAAUGUCUGGGCAACUGCCUGAUGGAGGGGGAUAACUACUGGAAACGGUAGCUAAUACCGCAUACCAUCGGAUGUGCCCAUAUGGGAUUAGAUAUUGGGUGGGGUAAAGGCUCACCUAGGCGACAAUCCCUAGCUGGUCCGAUGGGAUGACCGGCCACACUGGAACUGAGACACGGUCCAGAUCCCGACGGGAGGCAGCAGGGGGGAAUAUUGCACAAUGGGCGCAAGCCUGAGACAGCCAUGCCGCGUGUAGGAAGAAGGCCUUCGGGUUUUAAAGUACUUUCAGCGGGGAGGCGUUACCCGCAGAAGAAGCACCGGCUAACUCCGUGCCAGCAGCCGCGGUAAUUC